CAAGUACUCCCUCUGUUCGGAAUUACUUGUCAUCAAAAUGGAUGUGUCUAGAACUAAAAUACAUCCAGAUACAUCCAUUUCAAUGACAGGUAUUUUCGGACGGAGGGAGUACAAG
rnacentral:pre_miRNA from 1 species